rnacentral:rRNA from 1 species
GAUGAACGCUGGCGGCGUGCCUAAUACAUGCAAGUCGAGCGAACGGACGAUAAGCUUUCUUCUCUGAUGUUAGCGGCGGACGGGUGAUUAACACGUGGAUAACCUACCUAUAAUACUGGGAUAACUUCGGGAAACCGGAGCUAAUACCGGAUAAUAUUUUGAACCGCAUGGUUCAAAAUUGAAAGACGGCCUUGCUGUCACUCAUAGAUGGAUCCGCGCUGCAUUAGCUAGUUGGUAAGGUAACGGCUUACCAAGGCAACGAUGCAUAGCCAACCUGAGAGGGGGUGCGGCCACACUGGAAAUGACACACGGGCCAGGAGCCUACGGGAGGCAGCAGUAGGAAACCUUCCGCAAGGGGAGAAAGCCUGACGGAGCAGCGCGGCGUGAGUGAUGAAGGGCUACGGAUGGUAAAACUGUGUUAUUGGGGAAGAACAAAUGUGUAAGGCACGGAGCACACCUCGAGGGUACAUAACCAGAAAGCCACGCCCAACUACGA